CGACACGCACCUACUACUACUCCAAGCAUCUGCCUCAUUUUUGAAGACUUGGAAGCGGACAGGAAUUAGGAAGCCUUGUCUCGGCACGCGGAGUCGAGGGCAAUAGCAAGAACCCUAUACCAGGUUACAAGGAGUGACAACACCGCCACAGGCAAGAAUACCCAACAUUGCCACUGGGAACUCAAGUGAAGAGGGAGAACAAAUGCCAACAACAUCUCCUUUGUCAAGUCCCGCUUCGCGUAAAU